rnacentral:rRNA from 1 species
UACGAAGGGGGCUAGCGUUGCUCGGAAUUACUGGGCGUAAAGGGAGCGUAGGCGGAUAUUUAAGUCGGGGGUGAAAGCCCAGGGCUCAACCCUGGAAUUGCCUUCGAUACUGGAUAUCUAGAGUAUGGGAGAGGUGGUGUGGAACUCCGAGUGUAGAGGUGAAAUUCGUAGAAUUAUUCGGAAGAACACCAGGUGGCGAAAGGCGACAGCCACUG